GCGUCGUGGCCGAGUGGUUAAGGCGAUGGACUCGAAAUCCAUUGGGUUUUCCCCGUGUGAGUUCGAAUCCUACCGGCUGCG
rnacentral:tRNA from 13 species